AAAACGGCGUGAGGAGUGUAGUAGUAUGUGGGUCUUGAACAUAAGCAUAGACUGUAAGCUUGGUAGGUAGCGGCGGAGCCAUGGCGGACCUUGUGGUGGGCAUGGCCAAGUCGGUGGUGGAUGGGGCGCUGACCAAGGCCCAGGCGGCGAUCGAGGAGGAGUCGAAGCUGCGGCAGAGCGCGCAGCGCAACCUGGUGUUCAUCACCGGCGAGUUCCAGAUGAUGCAGGCCUUCCUCAACAACGCCGACAGUGACCGCCUGGAGAAUCCGGUGGUGCGGACCUGGGUGCGGCAGAUCCGCGACCUGGCCUACGACGUGGAGGACUGCAUCGAGUUCGUCGUCCACCUCGACAAGAACAACAGCUGGUGGCUCCGCCUUCUCAACCCCGUGAGCUGGCUCCUCGCGCCCUGCCUGGAUCUCGCCCCGCUGCCGCUCGACGAGGCGGUCGACGAGCUGGACCGGCUCAAGGCCAGGGUGGAGGACGUGAGCAGCAGGAACACGCGCUACAGCCUCAUCAGCGACUCCGGCUCCAAGCCCGCCGCCGCCGACGACGACAAGCACGACCCGGCUUCCUCCCGCGAUGCCGUCGGUGGCGCGACGGCGUUCAACAGGCUCUUCGAGGCGGCGUUUAGAACCACCCAAAAAGGGGAUCUCACCCAGCUGCUCCCCAAGAAAGACCAUGACCUCGGAGUCAUCUCCAUCUGGGGCACCGGCACCGGAGGCGGGGAAGAUCUCGGGAUGGCAUCCAUCGCCUGGAACGCCUACGUUGAUAAAGGGACCUGCCAAAACUUCGUAUGUCGCGCAUGGGUGAAGCUGAUGCAUCCCUUCGAUCCCCACCAGUUCGUCCGGUCUUUGACGGCUCAGUUCUACGCAGCCCCCUCCUCUCCCGGCGAGGAACACGCGACCUCCGUAGGUGGCGUACGAGUCCUGAUGAAGAUGGAGGCCGCGGGAGGAGAACCUCUCAAGGAUUUCGAGCAGCUUGUCAUGAACAACAGGUACCUCGUUGUGCUGGAGGGCGUGUCCUCCAUGGCAGACUGGGAUGCUAUGAGGAGGUUCUUUCCAAACAUGAAGAAUGGCAGCUGCAUCAUCUUGCCCACCCACCAGUUCGAGGUAGCAAGCUUGUCCGUUGGACAUCCAUACCAAGUGCUGCAUCUCAACCAGAUAUCAGCAGAGCACUCUGUUUACGCCUUCUUUAGAAAGGGAUCUCCAUAUGAUGUGGAUCAAGGCAGGGAAAUCCAUAAUGCACCCGCCAGCAAGAAUGUAUCAGCCGGCAACUGUAAGGAGGAAGCAGCCAAGAAGUGGAUGAACAGGCAUCCUCUUGUUGGACGCGAGUCGGAAAUGAAGGAUCUUGCUCUAAAGAUAAUUAAUGCACGGUACAAGAGCUACCAAGUUAUGUCCGUGUGGGGAAUAGCUGGCGUUGGAAAAUCAGCUCUCGUCAAGAACAUGUUCUGCGACAGAAUUUGUAUAGGCACCCUAUUCCAGAAGUAUGGUUGGGUGGAUGUAUCACAUCCUUUCAAUUUAUGGAACUUCUCUCGAAUCUUACUUUCCAGUCUUGGUUCUGAGUAUCUUCAAGCCGGUGAGACUGAGGACUUGUGUACGAUGGGAAGCAGAAAUCCCAUUGUCGAGUGUCGUGAGAUUCUGAAAAAGCAUAGAUGCCUGGUUGUUAUUGAUGGACUGCAGUCCACAGAAGAAUGGGAUCUCAUAAAAGCUAACUUGGUAUCAGGGUCUAAUCGUCAGAAUGUUAUCAUCGCCGUUACAAUUGAACAAGAAAUGGCCUCUCAUUGCCGUGGAGUUAAGGGAGAGCUCGUGUUUAAUGUCAAAGGUUUGGAAGCUGACACAGCCUUUGAACUCUUCAAGAAGGUAUCCAAGAAGAGUGAAGUCGCAGAGCUACAAGAACUUACGUCACUAUGUGGUGGACUUCCGAAAGUUAUAGUGGAGAUAGCCAGCUCAUUCGCCAAAAAUACAGAUCGAUGGAAACAUACACUUUCUACCAAAAAUAAGUUUAUGCUAGAGCUCGAGAACAACGGAGAGUUUGACAGUCUAAAGGGUCUGUUUGGUUGGAUGAAUUCAUACUUCCGCAAAUGCCCAGAUUCUCUCAAGCCAUGUAUCCUGUAUCUACCAAUUUUCCCUCGAAACCAGCUCAUUCGGCGGAGGCGACUAGUAAGGCGGUGGAUUGCUGAGGGUUACUCCAGGGACAGCCAUGAAGAAUCUGCAGAGAUGACUGGGGAGAAACAAUUCUGUGACCUCAUUAAUCUGAGCAUAAUCCAGCAGGCAUCUGCGUUGGGUUUGGGCGGCACAAGGAUGGUCUUCUGCCAAGUCAAUGGCUUCUUUCGUGAGUAUAUUGUCUCGCGCCAAAUGGAAGAGAACCUUGUGUUUGAACUUAGGGGCAGUUGUGCCUUAACCACCCAACACACAGGGCGUCACCUUGUGAUAUUAGAGAGCUGGGUCAGAGAUAGAAUUGUGUACGAGAGCAUUGACUUUUCACGCCUCCGGUCACUCAUGGUGUUUGGAAACUGGAAAUCAUUCUUCGUUUCUGAAAGUAUGAGGCUUCUUCGGGUGCUUGAUCUAGAGGGUGCAUCAGAAUUAGAGUAUAGCGACCUCAAGAAGAUUGUGAAGUUGAUGUGUCGCCUCAAGUUCCUCUCACUGCGAGGAUGCCAUGAAAUCUGCCAUCUGCCGAGUUCAAUAGGAGGUCUGAGGCAGCUUCAGACUCUUGAUGUUAGACACACCUCCAUAGUCACCCUGCCGGUGAACAUCACCAAGUUAGAGAAGCUGCAGUACAUCCGUGCGGGAACCACUGCUCCAGCAAAUGAAGCACCAACACCACAUCAUUUAGUGCCCCAGCUGUCCAAUUGCUGUGGUGGUCAUCACCUGGUUGGUGUUGUGAUGCCUCCAGGGAUUGGGAAACUGACUGCAUUGCACACACUUGGUGUUGUCAAUGUCAGUGCUUCAGGGACAAAGGCCGUCCUAGAAGAUCUCAAGAAGCUCACCCAUUUGCACAAACUCGGAGUGUCUGGCAUUAACAAGAAUAACAGCAAUGAGUUUUUCCGGGCAAUCUCAGUUCUUGUCCAUCUGGAAUCACUGUCGGUGCGGCUCGAGGACAACAAUCAAGGUUGUUUGAAUGGUAUACCGCUGCCUUUGGAGGGCUUGAGGAGCCUUAAAAUGCAUGGGCUUGGAGACCAGUUGCCAAACUGGAGUGGGCAGCUCACUAUGCUUGCAAAGAUGGAUUUGGAAAUAGCCAAGUUGAUGGAAGAUAAUGUCUCCCCGCACUCAGAAGGUGCGACGCCAGAAGGAAGAAGGAAACCAACUAGGGGUGUCAUCAAGUUCCUAAGCGAGCUACCAGGAUUAUGUAUUCUACGUCUUCGUGUCGAUCACCUUCAAGAUAAUCAGCUCGACUUGUCUGUCAUUACUAAUGACCUAGAGGAAGACUCUUUCAAGAAAAUGAAGAUCUUCGAGAUUGCUUGCAACUCCAGCUUAGAAGUUAGUUUUGGAGAAAAAACAAUGAAGAAACUUGAGCAGCUGAAGGUCAACUGCUCUAGUGGCUCAUCGUUGUUAGGCCUGAAGCAUUUACCUGAACUCAAGGAAGUCUUGCUCAAGGGUUCCAGUGAUGAAGCACUCAAGGCUGAUCUCAUCGCCGUGCUCGAGAACCACCCAAAGCAAAAGAAACCUGUUGUGAAGUUUGAGGAACUAUGAGAGCCUCUUCGUCCUGAUAGUUUGGGAGGUCAAGGUGGUCAUUAAUCUUGUUGCUGGUUUACUCUUGUAGCACUGCAUCUUAGUUGCUCUGAUUUCAAACAUCAAACCUGGGGCCAUAUACUUCCACAGCAGUCACAUUAGGCACUUGGCAAUUAGUUAUCCUAAGAUUAGCGGGUGUCUUAAACAGCUAACUAGAGACAACAAGGAAAUGGUAAAUGACGAGUAGGGAUACAUUAGCCAUUUGGUCGCCCCUGAACCAUCCAUGACUCUGGAGUGAAGGCCGUGAAGGACAAGUAUUCCCGGACGGAGGGAGUACAAGGUAUCAUGCUAAGUGGAUCAAAGCAUAGUCCAUUAUAUCGACUGGAUGGUCUUGGUCUAUAGGCAUGCUUGAGUGCACACCACAUGCGGAGAGGUUUCUUUUAACGUAUCUUAGCACCUUGUCCAAUAUCCAACGCCAAAACCAAAACUGGACAUUAAGGUUCAUUCUCAACACAUCCGCGAGUAUAUUUGUUGCAACAAGUGUACCUGGCACAUUGUGUAACACCUUGGCAAAGUCAUCUGCUAAUUGUACUAGCCGUGGAUGUUCUGGGGGUCUACACUCCCAAAUGCCAGUGUCUUGAAAAGGUACAGCUCAUCACAAGACAGAUCACUUAGAAAAAUAGGUUUCACCGAUCCAAAGCAGGCUAGUGUUUGAAGUCUACUUAAGAUGAUGAUCUUGGAAACAAGAAUAGUCCAAUCCUACAGUCAAGAGUGUAAAUAAUGAGUAUACUCUUGCUUAAAUUCCCUUUUGUCCUCCCAGAUUGACCAUGGUUGAAUAGCAAGGCAACUUUUCGAAAAUGGAAGCAACUGUAGUAACACCAUCGAUAGUUGUAGCUUUGAAGAACUUCUUAAAUUACUCAAUGAAGCAUCCAGUGAUUGUGCAACUUACUCGGCUUGAUGAUGGCUGGCGGUGGUGUCGUGGUGAGGACCAUGACAGUGCUCCUGCGGCCAUGGGUGCCGGUGAGGGGUAUGGGCCAUGAAUGUUCAUCUUGGUUUGAUUAUGUUAUGACCGGCAUAUUACGGGCUUAGCCCAGUUAGUUGUGGCCCAGUUUAUCUUAUCGUUAUUAGGGGCUUAGCCGUUUCCUAGUUUAUCGAUCGCAUCUGCCUCCCGGGUCGCUCCUCCAGGCGACUCC